CAAUAGCGUAUAUUAAAGUUGUUGCAGUUAAAAAGCUCGUAGUUGGAUUUCUGGUAGGAGUGACCGUUCCGAACUUGAUUGUUCGUGUAUUGUGUUUUCUCCAGCCAUCCUUGUGGAGAACUUUUCUUGCAUUAAUUUGUAGGGAUUGGGACCCGCAUCGUUUACUGUGAAAAAAUUAGAGUGUUUAAAGCAGGCAAUCGCUUGAAUACAUUAGCAUGGAAUAAUAAGAUAGGACUUUGGUACUAUUUUGUUGGUUUGCAUACCAAAUUAAUGAUCAACAGGAACAGUUUGAGGAUAUUCGUAUGAACAUGUCAGAGGUGAAAUUCUUGGAUUUUGAUCAGACGAACUACUGCGAAAGCAUUUAUCAAGGAUGUUUUCACUAA
rnacentral:rRNA from 1 species